CAUAAAAGAAAAAUAACCAGAUUACGAAAUCGAUAAUAACAGCCUCUUUAUUUUAUGCGUACAAUAAAUCUCCUAACGUAUUGGCGGAUCACAAUUGAGGAAACAUUUCCUACGAGCAUUUGAAAUUCACCGUAAUGACACUUUCCCCAGAUAAAUUUGGAUGAAUAUUUCUAGCCGGAUUCUGACGGAUAUUCGGAAGGUGCUUAAAAGUAACGCUUACGCCGAUAGAUGUCAAGCGGUUUGACUUCUUUUUUUGUUGCUGGUAUCUCAUGCUAAUCAUUUUUUUUUUUUUUUUUCGCUAGUACAGUUAAUGCGAGUAAACCCAGAAGGAGUCGAUAAAAGUUUGAUUUGGUGAUCCUGUUCAGUGUGGUCUUAUCGCAUUGAAAAAAGUUUUACACGACCAAACGAAAAGUCGCCUACACGCCGAGCCGAGCAGAGCGGAGUAACAGCAGCAGCAGCAGCAGAGGAACAGAAGAAGAAGAAGAAGCAGCAGCAGCAGCAGCACGAGACUCGCGCUACUGCAUUUAAAUGUCAUCAUUAGAAGCUUCACCCGGCGGCUCUCGAACCACCAAACCCUUGGUGGUGCCGGUUCGCCCCUCGCGAUUCCGCAUGAAUAAAUAAAAUACUGCGCAACGGCGACAACGUAUGCGAAAAUGUUUGUAAAAAAUGAAAAAUAAAAAACAGAAGUACACGUAUAUUUGCAAACGAAUAAAAUUGCAAGAAUAAAUAAAUAAAUAGAUACACGGGAUUGGGGAUAAGAAUGAGAAUCGUUACGUUCAUAACUGCUGAAUAAAGUGCAGUCGAGAUCGGAGCGGGGUUGGAAUCGAACGCAACGAGAAUAAAACGCAAUAACUCGUGAUCGAGUUAUAAUGAAUCUGGCGAGAGACGUAUUUGCAUGUGUACCUACACUACACGCAUUCGGAGCGGUAUAGGUAUUUGUGCGAAACGAGAACUGAUAAAAUUGUAGCUUCGUCGCCUCGCAAUCGGGAAUUGCUCGGAGCCUUAAUUAAAGAUGGAGGAGUCCGUGAAACUUUUAAUCAAAAUUCUAGCACCAGCGAAAACUCGCUCCGCUGUAAGAACACCUCGCGGCAUGCAGCGCAACGGCGGAAAAAAACGAAAGGAUAAAAAACAGAAAACCGAAAAAAAAAAAACAAAAAAAAACCACACUUAUAAAAUGACAGAACGGAGCGAAACUUCCAUGAGAGUUCGAACUAUAGACCGAUAAAACCGGUCCAACAUUCACGACGUACUACGUAUCCUACUACAUCCUUCAUUUUUAUUCAUUUACAAUCGUCAUUGUUAUUAUUUUGCUAAACUUCAAACAGCCCGUUAAAAAUGUUACAAUUCUCGUACAACGAAUUCCAGAAUGUCGGGGCGAGGGGAAGGAAAUAAUAAUUCCUCAACACGAUCGUACGACAGGAGCUGUAUAUCCUUUGAGGAUACGGGAACGAGGCGUUUUAAAAGGCGCACGCUUUGCGCAUCCCAUUUUCCCCAACACUGCGGAAUUAUACAAGUACAAAUUACGCGUCUGUACGCCCAUAUCGCGGGAGGGUAUCGUAUCGUCUAUAUAUAUUUCGCUAACGGAUCACGUUACACCGCAAUUAUUAGGGGAUUUUUAUUUUAUCCGUUAUCUGUAAUCUAUAUCUACUCCGUAUCAUUCGCCUCGCAAAAUCUGUGUCGAACCAUCGGAAAAGAAAAACCAGUCGGAUAAUACACAACAAACCUGUAUAGGAGGGAAAAUACUUGACUCCGGGCGCGGGUGUGAGAUAUUGUUCGCGCUAGUGGUUCGUUCGAAUCCGUCGCUACUUGAUACAGAAGAGGGAGCCGCGCCGCCCGACACCUCUUUCCGAGAUCCAAGACAUUCUUACGGAUACAUCCCGUACACCUACUAUGGAGUACGGAGGAAGAAGGGAAGCGGAGAACAGUGAAAAGAGCAAAGCUCGAUCGCGAGAGAGGGCGAGGGGCGAGGGGCGAAGGGGAGGGAAAAAAGACAGACGUACACGCGGACAGAGAGACGAGGAAGCGAGGGUGUCGGGGCCUCGGAGAGGGGGAGGAAACGAAAGGGGACAGGCGCCAUUACUUGCAAGUGGCGCUUUCGGAGCGCAUCUUUCCGACAAAGCCGAUAUUUAUCGCCCCCAGUUUUGCCCGCAGCCAAGGUUUCAUUUAAAAUAUUAUCGCUGACACGAUGGUCCUAUUGCCGUACAGCUAUAUAUGGAUUUAACGUCCGAGUAAGGACGUUGACUUCUCGUGUCAAAUUAUGUGGAAAUUGGCUGCGCGACACGUAGCCGAGCGACGAGAAGGUCUAAGGGAUGGAAGGAAGGAAGGAAGGAAGGAAGGAAGGGAGAAAAGAGAGAGAGAGAGAAGGACGAAGGGAGAGAGGAUCGGUCGGUGGUUUUGCGGACACUUUGGGUAGGCAAUUCGUAAGCCGCCCCCGAAAACCGCAAUUCCCAACUGGACAUUGCACAAGUUCAGGUGGCAAAAGUGUACAAAGGGUUAAACGAAAUGAGAACGAGAAAAAAAGAAAGAAAAGAAAAAAAAAAACUAUUGGAAACGAAAAACGGAACCAAAGAAACGAGGAGAAUAGCGAGCAUUUGUUAAUUAAUGUUGAUCAAGAAACAGUGUGUAGGUGAAAAAAAAUCAAACAAGAUGAACGAAGAAGUUCAUUUGAAAAGGACAGGGUCGAAUUAAGGGAGAUAAAAAAAAUCAAAAAGCAAAACGCAACAAAACUAUGAAAUAAAUGUACAUGAUAUACCUGCGUGUAAUUACGAAAUAAAAAUAUCCUGAUUCUGGUUCUAUAAA